AGUGAACGCUGGCGGUAGGCCUAACACAUGCAAGUCGAACGGCAGCACAGUAAGAGCUUGCUCUUACGGGUGGCGAGUGGCGGACGGGUGAGGAAUACAUCGGAAUCUACUUUUUCGUGGGGGAUAACGUAGGGAAACUUACGCUAAUACCGCAUACGACCUACGGGUGAAAGCAGGGGAUCUUCGGACCUUGCGCGAUUGAAUGAGCCGAUGUCGGAUUAGCUAGUUGGCGGGGUAAAGGCCCACCAAGGCGACGAUCCGUAGCUGGGCUGAGAGGAUGAUCAGCCACACUGGAACUGAGACACGGUCCAGACUCCUACGGGAGGCAGCAGUGGGGAAUAUUGGACAAUGGGCGCAAGCCUGAUCCAGCCAUACCGCGUGGGUGAAGAAGGCCUUCGGGUUGUAAAACCCUUUUGUUGGGAAAGAAAAGCAGCAGGUUAAUACCCCGCUGUUCUGACGGUACCCAAAGAAUAAGCACCGGCUAACUUCGUG
rnacentral:rRNA from 1 species